CACUAUUGUGUAUGGUGGUCAAGGAAUCCAUAAAAGCACCAGGUCCCCUGGCACUGGAGUUCCAGCUGGUUGUAACUAUCAUGUGGUUGUUAGGAACUGAUUGUAGGUCCUCUACAAGAGACGUAAGUGCUUUUAACCCCUGGGUCACUGCCAACUCUCCUCCCUCUUUACACAGACUCUCAUGUAGCUCAAACCAACGUUGGACUCACUAAGUAGCUCACGCUGACGUUGCGCUCCUAAUCAUCCUACUUCUCUGCCUACACCAAGUGUUGAGAUUUCAGGUUUGUGCCACCAUGCUUGGCUGAAUGCUGCACACCUUCUCAGCAAAAUGCCCCUUCUUUUGUGUAUGUUUAUGUGUGGGUGGGUGCAUGUGAUAGCCAAACAUCUAUGUCAGGUUCUCAAUAUCUUUCCACCCUAUUCUUCAGACAGAGUUGGUUAUUGCACCUAAAGCUUACGGAUUCAGCUAGAUGGACCAGCAAGCCCCAAGGGUCUUCCCAUCUCUACCUCCCCCACUCUGGCAUUAUAGAUACAUGCCACCACACCACACGCUUUAUGUGGGGGAUGGAGAUCCAAACUUGGGUCUUCAUGCUUGUGUGGCAGGUAGGCAUGUUAGUAACAGCUGUCUCCCCAGCCUGACACUCAUUUUAAUUAUUUUGAAGUAUUUGCUAGGAUUGAUCGUAGCGUACUACUAGUAAAAACAAAACCCAUGAUCUCUUACAGUGGGAUCAAGCUAGGAAAAAGAACUGCAAAGUCCCUAGCUAUUUAGAAUUAAUUCCAUGGGUUGAAAAUGAAAUAAUAUGAGGACCAGAGAGAUAGCUUAGCAGUCACAAGCAUUUGCUGCCCUAACAGGGCUCAGGUUUGAUUCCCUGUACCACAUACAGGCUCACAAGUAUCUGUAACUCUAGUUUUAGGGCACCACCUUCUGGCUUUUGGACACCAAGCAUACACAUGGUACAAAAUAUAUGCAAACAAAAUAGUCAUGUAAAAUUAAAAAUUCUUUUAGUAAAUUCUAACAGCAAAUGAAAUCAUACAGGAAGUUAGAAACUAUCUUGAAUGAUACUGAAGAUACGUUAAUACUUGUAGUAUACAACUUAAAGUAGUGCCUUCAUUUUUAUCCUUGACGUAAGAUCCCGCUAUCCUGCUGCCUGUCCCCUUCCAGUGCUAGGAUUACAGAUGCUUGCCACCAUAGCCAGCUAAAUUCAUGUUUUUUUAAAAAAUAAAUACAUUAACUGGGCAUAGUGUCUUAAACAUUUAAUCCCCGGUAUUCAAGAGAGUUCAAGAACAGCUGGGCUACAGAACAAUCCAGUUUCUAAAAGAAAAAGGACAAACUAGCAAAAAUGAAAUGAAGUAUAGAGUUGAGACAUUACAAGAAAAAAAUAAAAGGCUGAACAUAAAUAUAAAACAAACUUAGUUUAUUAAAAAUCUACAGUAUGGAAAAAUUACAGUAGAGUAAGUCAGUGAGCAGUUAGGUGUUCUUAAAAGUGAAACAGAAAAGACGUCCUUCCAAAAUCCAGCAUCGGCUUGUACUUUCUUGGAGACCUGAGAAUCACCUUGGUCCUUUUAUGGGGCCACCUAGAAAAAGAACCAAAAGCUACAGAAGAGAGCUUUCAAUAGCUAGACUUUUUAGGCAAAGGUUACGCUUGCAAAAGGGACAUAAUGGACAUGCAGGCAAAAACCAAGCUGGUACCUCUAGUCUUCUGGGGUUUCAUAGAGUUGGGUAUGAAAACUACUUCUGCCCAUUUGGUAGCUGGAAUAAGAAUGGCCCACAAAGGCUCAUAUUUAAAUGCUUAGGGCAGCAUUAGGAGGUGAAGUCUUAAUGGACAAAGUGUCAUGUGUGUCUCCCUGCUGCCUGUGGAUCUGGUUGUAGAACUCUCUCCAGUACCAUCUCUGCCUGCAAGCCUCACCAUGAUGAUUAUAGACUAAAUCUCUGAACUGUAAGCAAGCCCCAGUGAAGUGUUUCUUUGUAAGAGUUGCUAUGGUCAUGAUGUCUCUACAAAGCCAUGGAAACCCUAGCUAUGACAGCCCAGGAUGUUGUGAGCCUUGGCUUCGCGAACUGGGCCCCUGUGAAUUAAAAAGGAUGGUUACAUUCAAAAUUACUGAUUUUAAAAUGGCGAUUAAAGGCUUCAGACUCCUGUUAGGUGUUUGAGAUUUUAGGUUCUUUCGCAAUUUUUAGUUUUGCCUCGUUAGACUCCCUACUCUUUCUUGAGUUAAUCUUGGUAAUUGUUAUUCAUGGGUAAUUAAUUUACCAAAAACCAAACAAAUAAAACUCAGAACUAUUAAAACAUUCAGGUAAGUUUAACAGUUUGAACAAAGUUUAAAAAUCUCAAGUUGGAAAGCCUUCAUAUCCAGAGAGGUCCAAGCAGUUCAACUGUUUUAUAAACAAUCUUUGUUCAUUUAAAAUAAAUUUGUGGGGCUGGUGAGAUGACUCAGUGGGUAAGAGCACCUGACUGCUCUUCCGAAGGUCCGGAGUUCAAAUCCCAGAAACCACAUGGUGGCUCACAACCAUCUGUAACAAGAUCUGACUCCCUCUUCUGGAGUGUCUGAAGACAGCUACAGUGUACUUACAUAUAAUAAAUAAAUAAAUCUUAAAAAAAAAGAAAAAAAAGAAACUACAAAAAAAAUAAAAAUAAAUUUGUGUACAUAUUGAUCUGUUUGUGUGUGUUCUCUUGUGUUUCACUAGAAAUAAUAUAGUUCACGUUCUACUACCAUACUAAUACAGUUUUCAAGUAAGGUAGAAAAAAUUAAAGCAACAUGCAUGCAAAGGAAAAGAACCCUUAUACUGGAGUCUCGCAGAGAAUCUGUAGUUUUAACACAGCUGAUGAAAUUAUAGUUGCCUACAGAUAGCGUGUAUAGGCACCUUCAGUGGGGAUGCUAAAGCAGCUUACUUAAGGCUGUGGCAAUUGUGGCCAUGCCACUUCUCAGCUCACAUCCAUAAUUCUAGACAGUGCACCUCAGAAAUAAAACCUAAAAUUUACUUACACAAGGAAAUUCUCUAUAAAAUAGGAAAAUGAAGUUACUAACCAAUGGUACUUUCCCCUUAAUUUUAAAACUUUACUUAAGGGCUGGUGAGAUGGCUCAGUGGGUUAGAGCACCCGACUGCUCUUCCGAAGGUCCAGAGUUCAAAUCCCAGCAACCACAUGGUGGCUCACAACCAUCCGUAACAAGAUCUGACUCCCUCUUCUGGAGUGUCUGAAGACAGCUACAGUGUACUUACAUAUAAUAAAUAAAUAAAAAAAAAAAAAAAAAACUUUACUUAAAAUUUAAACUUUGUUGAAUCUUUAAACCUUGUAAAUUGAGUUUUUGGGGAAGGUAGCUUGGCCAGAAUCGUGUGUGUCCACUGGAAACACCCAGUGGCUGUGUUCUCUAAUGCGCUUGAAUUUAAGCCAUGUAUUAGCUUUUAGUCUCCAUAGACAGUAAUUACUGAUUUUGUUUCAUCCUGAAAUCCUUUUUUCUUCUGUAUAGUUGAGGAUCUGUCAAUAGCUGGGUGGAGGUCCCCGAAAAGGGAGACUGGGUUGGGUUGUGACUUUCCACUGCUGCUGAUACUUCUACA
rnacentral:lncRNA from 1 species